rnacentral:rRNA from 1 species
UACGUAGGGGGCGAGCGUUGUCCGGAUUUAUUGGGCGUAAAGAGCGUGUAGGCGGCCAGGUAGGUCUGCUGUGAAAACUCGAGGCUCAACCUCGAGACGUCGGCGGAAACCAUCUGGCUAGAGUCCGGAAGAGGAGAGUGGAAUUCCCGGUGUAGCGGUGAAAUGCGUAGAGAUCGGGAGGAACACCAGAGGCGAAGGCGGCGACCUGGACAGGUACUGACACUCAACUACGAAAGCGUGGGGAGCAAACAGG